UACGUAGGUGGCGAGCGUUAUCCGGAAUUAUUGGGCGUAAAGAGCGCGCAGGUGGUUGAUUAAGUCUGAUGUGAAAGCCCACGGCUUAACCGUGGAGGGUCAUUGGAAACUGGUCGACUUGAGUGCAGAAGAGGGAAGUGGAAUUCCAUGUGUAGCGGUGAAAUGCGUAGAUAUUAGGAGGAACACCAGUUGCGAAGGCGGCUCUCUGGACUGUAACUGACACUGAGGCACGAAAGCGUGGGGAGCAAACAGGAUUAGAUACCCCGUA
rnacentral:rRNA from 1 species